UGUCCCAGCCGCCGCGGUAAUACGGGAGUGGCAAGCGUUAUCCGGAAUUAUUGGGCGUAAAGCGUCCGCAGGCGGUCUUGUAAGUCUGUCGUUAAAGCGUGGAGCUUAACUCCAUUUCAGCGAUGGAAACUGUAAGACUAGAGUGUGGUAGGGGCAGAGGGAAUUCCCGGUGUAGCGGUGAAAUGCGUAGAUAUCGGGAAGAACACCAGUGGCGAAGGCGCUCUGCUGGGCCAUAACUGACGCUCAUGGACGAAAGCCAGGGGAGCGAAAGGGAUUAGAUACCCCUGUAGUCCUGGCCGUAAACGAUGAACACUAGGUGUCGGGGGAAUCGACCCCCUCGGUGUCGUAGCCAACGCGUUAAGUGUUCCGCCUGGGGAGUACGCACGCAAGUGUGAAACUCAAAGGAAUUGACGGGGGCCCGCACAAGCGGUGGAGUAUGUGGUUUAAUUCGAUGCAACGCGAA
rnacentral:rRNA from 1 species